AUUGCCACUGCCCGCUUCCAUUUUCUUUUCUUUCCUUUUCCCUCGUCGCGAAUUUGUCGGUUCUUCAGCCGAUUUCGCUCUCUUCCAUCGACCUCAAUUCCCUUGUCUGCUCAAACUCGAAGAACUCAAAGGCAGCUACAGCCAUUGCAGAGGAUUUCAACCCUUGAAGGUGAAGCGAAAUGUCGGGGGACAAGCGAAACAUUCUUGAUAAUUAUCGCCGACAGCUUGCUGCCAAGUUUGAGGUGAAGCGGAAUCUUUUCAAAGCCAUUUGCAAUGAUCCGAGUCUUCCCAAAGAUGUUCGUGAGGAGCAUCGUUAUAAGCUGUCGAAGUUGCCAAGAAAUAGUUCGUUCACUCGAUUGAGGAAUCGCUGCAUUUUCACCGGUCGACCUAGGGGUGUCUACCAGCUUUUCCGUAUGUCUCGUAUCGUUUUCCGUGAACUGGCGAAGAAAGGUCUUGUAAUGGGUGUCAAGAAAGCUUCUUGGUAGAUAUUGAUUGAUGGUAGAGACUUUUGUCGUUGUGGCCAGCGGAAAUUAAACAUAUGCUCUGAAAAAUGUAAUAUUAAUUUAAGUUCCUUGGACAUGAUCCAUGCCAAAGAAGAGCAAAGGCUUUACUUUUACUAUUCAAUAAGUGUUUUGUCUUAGACAGUUAAGAAUUGUGUUGUAUUUUUCUGAUAGUUACCAUUUCCUUUUCCCCUACCA